GUUAAGUUGCAGGGUAUAGACCCGAAACCCGGUGAUCUAGCCAUGGGCAGGUUGAAGGUUGGGUAACACUAACUGGAGGACCGAACCGACUAAUGUUGAAAAAUUAGCGGAUGACUUGUGGCUGGGGGUGAAAGGCCAAUCAAACCGGGAGAUAGCUGGUUCUCCCCGAAAGCUAUUUAGGUAGCGCCUCGUGAACUCAUCUUCGGGGGUAGAGCACUGUUUCGGCUAGGGGGUCAUCCCGACUUACCAACCCGAUGCAAACUACGAAUACCGAAGAAUGUUAUCACGGGAGACACACGGCGGGUGCUAACGUCCGUCGUGAAGAGGGAAACAACCCAGACCGCCAGCUAAGGUCCCAAAGUCAUGGUUAAGUGGGAAACGAUGUGGGAAGGCACAGACAGCCAGGAUGUUGGCUUAGAAGCAGCCAUCAUUUAAAGAAAGCGUAAUAGCUCACUGGUCGAGUCGGCCUGCGCGGAAGAUGUAACGGGGCUAAACCAUGCACCGAAGCUGCGGCAGCGACACUAUGUGUUGUUGGGUAGGGGAGCGUUCUGUAAGCCUGCGAAGGUGUGCUGUGAGGCAUGCUGGAGGUAUCAGAAGUGCGAAUGCUGACAUAAGUAACGAUAAAGCGGGUGAAAAGCCCGCUCGCCGGAAGACCAAGGGUUCCUGUCCAACGUUAAUCGGGGCAGGGUGAGUCGACCCCUAAGGCGAGGCCGAAAGGCGUAGUCGAUGGGAAACAGGUUAAUAUUCCUGUACUUGGUGUUACUGCGAAGGGGGGACGGAGAAGGCUAUGUUAGCCGGGCGACGGUUGUCCCGGUUUAAGCAUGUAGGCUGAUUGUCCAGGCAAAUCCGGAUAAUCAAGGCUGAGGUGUGAUGACGAGGCACUACGGUGCUGAAGUAACAAAUGCCCUGCUUCCAGGAAAAGCCUCUAAGCAUCAGGUAACAUUAAAUCGUACCCCAAACCGACACAGGUGGUCAGGUAGAGAAUACCAAGGCGCUUGAGAGAACUCGGGUGAAGGAACUAGGCAAAAUGGUGCCGUAACUUCGGGAGAAGGCACGCUGGUGUGUAGGUGAAGUCCCUGCGGAUGGAGCUGAGACCAGUCGAAGAUACCAGCUGGCUGCAACUGUUUAUUAAAAACACAGCACUGUGCAAACACGAAAGUGGACGUAUACGGUGUGACGCCUGCCCGGUGCCGGAAGGUUAAUUGAUGGGGUUAUCCGUAAGGAGAAGCUCUUGAUCGAAGCCCCGGUAAACGGCGGCCGUAACUAUAACGGUCCUAAGGUAGCGAAAUUCCUUGUCGGGUAAGUUCCGACCUGCACGAAUGGCGUAAUGAUGGCCAGGCUGUCUCCACCCGAGACUCAGUGAAAUUGAACUCGCUGUGAAGAUGCAGUGUACCCGCGGCAAGACGGAAAGACCCCGUGAACCUUUACUAUAGCUUGACACUGAACAUUGAGCCUUGAUGUGUAGGAUAGGUGGGAGGCUUUGAAGCGUGGACGCCAGUCUGCGUGGAGCCAACCUUGAAAUACCACCCUUUAAUGUUUGAUGUUCUAACGUUGGCCCCUUACCGGGGUUGCGGACAGUGUCUGGUGGGUAGUUUGACUGGGGCGGUCUCCUCCCAAAGCGUAACGGAGGAGCACGAAGGUUAGCUAAUCCUGGUCGGACAUCAGGAGGUUAGUGCAAUGGCAUAAGCUAGCUUGACUGCGAGCGUGACGGCGCGAGCAGGUGCGAAAGCAGGUCAUAGUGAUCCGGUGGUUCUGAAUGGAAGGGCCAUCGCUCAACGGAUAAAAGGUACUCCGGGGAUAACAGGCUGAUACCGCCCAAGAGUUCAUAUCGACGGCGGUGUUUGGCACCUCGAUGUCGGCUCAUCACAUCCUGGGGCUGAAGUAGGUCCCAAGGGUAUGGCUGUUCGCCAUUUAAAGUGGUACGCGAGCUGGGUUUAGAACGUCGUGAGACAGUUCGGUCCCUAUCUGCCGUGGGCGCUGGAGAAUUGAGGGGGGCUGCUCCUAGUACGAGAGGACCGGAGUGGACGCAUCACUGGUGUUCGGGUUGUCAUGCCAAUGGCACUGCCCGGUAGCUAAAUGCGGAAGAGAUAAGUGCUGAAAGCAUCUAAGCACGAAACUUGCCCCGAGAUGAGUUCUCCCUGAGACUUUAAGUCUCCUGAAGGAACGUUAAAGACGAUGACGUUGAUAGGCCGGGUGUGUAAGCGCAGCGAUGCGUUGAGCUAACCGGUACUAAUGAACCGUGAGGCUUAACCUU
rnacentral:rRNA from 1 species